AACUACUCUUUAAUCAUGUACUCAGGUACUGAUUUUCUCAUGAAACCAGUUUUACUACGUGGGUUUUCUGGUUCUUUACACCUGCUUUUGUUAUUUGUGUUGUUUAUCAAGUUGGUAUGCAAUAAAUUCAAAGUGGGUCAUAGUGAAGGUCCAAAGGAAAGGUUUAAGAACAUCAGGUGUUUGUACUAUAAACAGGCUCAAAUUUGUUGUUUGGGUGUUUCUGUGUUUAGUCUAGUGUUGUGCUUGUUGAAUUACUUUUAUUGGGAUAGAAAUGGUUGGUCUGAUGAAGGGCUAGUGACCCUUUUGGAUUUAGCGCUCAGAACACUCGCUUGGGGUGCACUUUGUGUUUAUUUGCGUACCCAAUUGUUUAAUUCAGGUGAAUCGAAGAACCCUUUUCUACUGAAAGUUUGGUCGGGUUUCUUCCUUAGCAUUUCUUGUUAUUGUCUUGUUAUAGAUAUUGUUCUUUAUAGAGAACAUGUUCGUUUACCAGUUCAAAAUUUAGUUUCCGAUGUCGUGUCUGUCAUUUUGGGUUUGUUUUUCUGUUAUGUGGGUUUUAGUGGGAAGGAGGGUGAAGAUACCCUUCUUGAAGAACCUCUUUUAAAUGGGGAUUCUAAUACCAGUAAUGAAGUUGAGUCAAAUAAGUCGAAGGGGAGUGAAAAUGUAACCCCUUAUUUGAAUGCUGGAUUUUUCAGCAUUCUUACUUUUUCUUGGAUGGGUCCUUUAAUUGCAAUUGGCAAUAAGAAGACAUUAGACCUUGAGGAUGUCCCUCAACUUGGUCCUAGUGAUAGUGUAUUUGGGGCCUUUCCAACAUUUAAAAAUAAGCUUGAGGCAGAGUGUGGUACAAGUAAUGGAGUGACCACACUGAAGCUGGCAAAGUCACUAAUCUACUCAGCAUGGAAAGAGAUUCUUUUAGCUGGCCUAAACGUGCUGACAUUCUCACUGGCUUCCUAUGUUGGACCAUAUCUUAUUGAAACUUUUGUUCAAUACCUCAAUGGGCGGAGACAGUACAAGAAUGAGGGCUAUGUUCUGGUUUUAGUGUUUUUUGCUGCAAAACUUCUGGAAUGCAUCUCGCAGAGGCACUGGUUCUUUAGGGUGGCACAGGUUGAAAUUAGGGUUCGAUCAGUAUUGAUUACAUUGAUUUAUAAUAAAGGUCUUACCCUUUCAUGCCAGUCAAAGCAGGGCCACACUAGUGGGGAGAUCAUCAAUUUCAUGACUGUUGAUGCUGACAGAGUUUCUGAUUUCAGUUGGUAUAUACAUGAAACUUGGAUGAUUCUUGUUCAAGUUGUUAUUGCGAUGUUACUUUUGUAUAAAAACCUUGGGCUUGCUUCAAUUGCGGCUUUGGUUGCAACCAUACUUGUUAUGUUGGCUAAUGUUCCUUUGGGAAGAUUAUAAGAAAAGUUUCAGGACAAGUUAAUGGAAUCAAAGGACAAAAGGAUGAAGGCAACAUCUGAGAUUUUAAGGAACAUGAGGAUUCUCAAGCUUCAAGGAUGGGAAAUGAAGUUUCUAUCAAAAAUCAUGGAGCUCAGGGGAACAGAGGCGGGGUGGUUGAAGAAGUUUCUUUACACUUCGGCAUUUACCUCUUUUGUCUUCUGGGGUGCUCCUACAUUUGUGUCCGUGGUCACUUUUGGUUCUUGUGUGUUGAUGGGGAUUCCACUUGAGUCGGGGAAGAUCUUAUCUGCACUUGCAACGUUUAGGAUUCUUCAGGAGCCCAUCUAUAGUCUUCCUGAUACAAUCUCAAUGAUAGCUCAAACGAAAGUGUCCCUUGAUCGAAUUGUGUCCUUCCUUUGUCUUGAUGACUUGCAGUCUGAUGUGAUAGAGAGGCUUCCAAGAGGUAGUUCUGAUACAGCAAUAGAGAUUAUUGACGGGAAUUUUUGUUGGAAUUCAUCUUCGUCAAGUGCAACAUUAAAAGAUAUAAAUUUUAAAGUGCAACAAGGCAUGAGGGUUGCUGUUUGUGGGACUGUUGGCUCAGGCAAGUCAAGUUUGCUUUCCUGUAUCCUGGGAGAAGUACCUAAGAUAUCUGGGACUGUUAAGUUAUGUGGGACAAAGGCAUAUGUUGCUCAGUCACCUUGGAUACAGAGUGGCAAGAUUGAAGAGAACAUAUUGUUUGGCAUGGAGAAGGAAAGAGAAAAGUAUGAGAAGGUCCUUGAAGCGUGUUCCUUGAAGAAGGACUUACAAAUUCUCCCAUUUGGUGAUCAAACAGUAAUCGGUGAGAGAGGAAUCAAUUUGAGCGGUGGGCAGAAGCAAAGGAUCCAAAUUGCGCGUGCUUUGUACCAAGAUGCUGAUAUCUAUUUGUGUGAUGAUCCGUUUAGUGCAGUGGAUGCUCAUACAGGAUCCCACCUGUUUAAGGAAUGUUUGCUGGGACUUUUGGAUUCAAAAACAAUUGUUUAUGUUACUCAUCAAGUGGAGUUCUUACCUGCUGCUGAUCUUAUCUUGGUGAUGAAAGAUGGUAGGAUUACUCAAUCUGGAAAGUAUAAUGAUAUUCUCAAUUCAGGAACUGAUUUUAUGGAACUCGUGGGAGCACAUAAGGAAGCUUUUUCAGGACUUGAUUUCACCAUGGCUGGGUCGGUUUCUGGAAGUAUGAGCAAGGAAGGUGGAAAUCUGGACAGUACUAAUUGGGUUGUGGAAAAACAAGAAGAUAAAGAUGUUCAAAAUUGUAAAGAAGAUGAUGUAGUCAGUUCAAAAGGACAGAUUAUCCAAGAAGAAGAGAGGGAGAAAGGUGGAGUUGGGUUUUCAGUCUAUUGGAAAUUUAUUACUAUGGCAUAUGGAGGAAGUCUUGUGCCAAUUAUAUUGCUGGCACAAGUUCUCUUUCAGACCCUUCAAAUUGGUAGCAAUUAUUGGAUGGCUUGGGCAACUUCUGUCUCCGAGGAUGUGAAACCUUCAGUUGAUAGCUCUACCCUAAUGAUUGUUUAUGUUGCUUUGGCCAUUGGAAGUUCUUUUUGUGUCCUUGUGAGAUCCAUGCUUCUUAGAACAGCUGGAUACACUACUGCCAAUCAACUCUUCAGCAAGAUGCACUUCUGCAUUUUCCGUGCCCCCAUGUCAUUUUUUGAUGCCACUCCAAGUGGACGAAUCCUAAGCAGAGCUUCUACUGACCAAAGUGCAGUGGAUUUGUCUAUUCUAAAUCAAAUGGGGUCAGUUGCCUUCUCAAUUAUCCAGCUUCUUGGAAUUAUUGCUGUAAUGUCUCAGGUUGCAUGGCAGGUUUUCAUCAUUUUUAUCCCAGUUAUUGCAACCUGUAUCUGGUAUCAGCAAUAUUACAUACCUUCUGCACGAGAACUAUCAAGAUUAGUUGGAGUGUGCAAGGCUCCAGUGAUACAACAUUUUACUGAAACAAUUUCAGGCGCAACAACCAUCAGGAGCUUUGAUGAAGAAUCAAGAUUUAGGGACACAAAUAUGAAACUGGCAGAUGCAAAUUCUCGGCCAAGAUUCAAUAUUGCUGGUGCAAUGGAGUGGUUGUGCUUCCGCUUGGAUAUGUUAUCUUCCAUAACAUUUGCGUUCUCCUUGGUCUUUUUGAUCUCUAUACCAGAGGGAGUCAUUGAUCCAGGCAUCGCGGGCUUAUCUGUGACAUAUGGACUUACUCUAAACAUGUUGCAAAGGAGGGUAAUAUGGUUUCUUUGCCAAAUGGAGAACAAAAUUAUAUCAGUAGAAAGAAUGUUUCAAUACACUUGUAUCCCAAGCGAGCCAGCUCUCGUGAUAGAAGAAACUCAACCAGAUCAUUCUUGGCCAUUGCAUGGAAAAGUUGAUUUUCAUGAUCUUCAAGUACGGUAUGCCCCACACAUGCCACUUGUAUUACGUGGCCUCACAUGUACUUUCCCUGGAGAAAUGAAAACUGGCAUUGUAGGGCGAACAGGUAGUGGUAAAUCAACUCUCAUACAAACGCUUUUCCGGAUUGUUAAACCUGCUGCGGGUCAGAUAAUAAUAGAUGGCAUCAACAUCUCCGUGCUUGGACUACAUGAUUUGCGAUCUAGACUAAGCAUUAUCCCUCAGGAUCCAACUAUGUUUGAAGGGACUGUAAGAAGCAAUCUGGAUCCACUUGAAGAGUACACAGAUGAACAAAUUUGGGAGGCUCUGGAGAAGUGUCAACUUGGAGAUGAAGUUAGAAAGAAAGAGGGAAAAUUGGAUUCUACAGUCAGUGAGAAUGGAGAAAAUUGGAGUGUGGGUCAGAGGCAGCUGGUCUGCCUUGGCCGUGUGCUGCUUAAAAAAAGUAAGGUAUUGGUGCUUGAUGAAGCUACUGCAUCGGUUGAUACAGCUACAGAUAAUCUAAUUCAGCAGACCCUCAGGCAACAUUUUUCCAACUGUACAGUCAUUACCAUUGCACAUCGGAUAACUUCCGUUCUUGAUAGUGACAUGGUUCUGCUACUAAAUAAUGGGCUUAUUGAGGAACAUGAUUCUCCAACAAGAUUGCUUGAAAACAAAUCAUCUUCUUUUGCUCAACUUGUAGCAGAGUACACUGUGAGGGCAAAUUCGAGCUUUGGGAAGUAAAGUUGUUGAGAUUAUUUGUGAUUUGUUUGACUCUGGCAACUUUGUUGACAAUGACUAAAAUUAAGUGUUUUUGUAGUCCUGUUUGAACUGUGAGAAGGAUAUCAGUGGGAUUUAGGUGACCUAGCUAGUUAGUGAUUACUUUAGUACAUUUCAGAUAGGAGAUUGUAAUAAUGGUUUUUGACAAGAGUAACUAAGUUGUAACUUUUAUGCUUGAAAUGGCACUAUAUGUGUUUUUGGCAUAUUCUAUCAACAAAGAUUUGUCCAGCUCGUUAGGCUUAA